GAAGGUGUGGUGCGGUGCGGUUUUCUUAUUAUAAAACCGUAAACUACAUUGCAUCAUGCGGUGCAGUGUGUGGUACACUGUUACUUGCGGUGUUGUGCGGUGUGGUUAGGCCAUUUUGCGGGAGAUUUUGGUGUAGUUUUUGUGGUUUGUACAGUUUAUGCAGUUUGAUGAACACCCCUAGUUAUGCACAUUUAAUGAUGCUAUAGUUGGGAUCCAUUCACUUGAAUCUAACCCAUCAUCUUCAUUUGACAGGUUACACUUCUUCUGUGACGCUGAUAUGCUACGACUUGAAUUUACAUUUUCCUUCACCUUAUUUCAUUUAGUGAAUCUUGCUUCAAUUUAUCAGGCUCUCCUUAAUUUUUUUUUGAUCAGUAAUAAGGAUUUAUUAAUAUCAAAAAGAGAGAGACACCCAAGUAUACAGGAAGUAUAUAAGGGUGUACAAAUCAAAUACAAAAAUUACAUAAAUCAAGUAAAUCCAAAAUAGAAGAAAAAGGUUGGUUUCUCCACUUAUUAGGUUGUCCUUAAUGGCUUUAGGUGGUACUGAUUAUAGAUAUGUUUCUUAAAUUGGUUAUAGUUCAAGGAAUAGGCAUCUUUAGUUUAUGCCUACAAGGAGAUUUUUCUUGUUAUGGAUGUCUUCAUUCAUCUCUUCAUUUGUUACUUGAGAAUCUAAUUUCUUCAAAUUUGAGGGUUAGGAGUGCUGCUGAUGCCGUCAAAAGUGUCAUUUCUGCUACCUCUGGUUGUCUGAUAGAGAGCUUGUAUGGUGCAAACUCAAAUUUCCAAAAAUUUUAAGAUGCAUGACUGUUGUCAAAAAACCCAUUUUAGAGAUUGGGACUUAGUUUUGGAUAUGCAGACUAUGUAUUGAUUCCAUUUAUCAGUAGCUCACAGAAUAUUUUCCCUAUCGUAGGAACUGGUAUGACUACAUAUCCUUGACUCUAGUAACUAUUUAGCAAAAUUAAAUCACUUAUCUUUUUAAUGUGUUGUGAAGAUGGUUUGUUCCAGGAAAACUUUUUAGUUAGUAGCUCUGCUUAGAGAUUUUAUCAUUAUCUUUUCUUUUAAAUGUAAAUUGAAGUUUUUCGCUUUUAAUUCUUUUACAGUUUUGAUUUGUUUUGAAAUAGCGACUUCUGUCUUUUAGCAAUGCCUAAACUGCGCUGGUGGCCCUUUCUAUCUAGUGUUAACAGGCUCGAGGGACGCACUCAUUCAUAUUUCAAUGGACUGAUGGAGAUUCCAUGACUGGGUGGUAAUAGACACUUCAUCUUUUUGCCCUUAAGAGGUUUGAAUGAAAGAGCAACAGUCAGUCUUCUAGAUGCACACAACAUUGGGAAGAUUGGCUGUAAGUUCAUAUAGAAACACCUCUCUAAUUUCAAGGGGACAGGGCAGCCUGACCCAACCAUAGCUUUUGAUUUCCUCACUGAGACGAGAAUAAGGUGCCAAGACAGUAAUAGAUCCACCAGUCAGCCUUCUUCUCAACUCAUGGAAUCAUUGGAAAUGAGUGAGUCUGCAUGAAUUCACAGCCAAUCAUUAAAAAGGGAAGAGGACUCCUUUUUGCUAAUCAGCACUAGCUGGCUAAUGAGAAGACUGCAAGACUGGUAAGGACUUAUGCUUCAGAUGACAGAUCAACCGCUAGACUGGACUUUGCUUGGGCAAUGACGAAGAUACCAGGGAAUAAUGUUUUGGAUGGAUCUCAAGGUCAGGUCCAACGGAACUGCUCCUUGCCUUUUGUCAGUUCCUAAGUGACAAUCUUGACCAUAAUGAACUCUUGACAUCUUUAUUUUUUCAUACAAGCUUCUCCUCAAGUUCAAUGUUUGAUUGUAGUAGCAAUGACUUCUACAUUUCUUGCGUGUACUAAUUUGAGUCUAUAUAUAAUGGCAACGGCAUAGAGUAGAGAUAUGUUAUGGCUGUUGAGUUCUUUAGAAAUAUAGAAUUCCAAUGUUUGGAAUGUUACCAAAAGCUAACUAAUAUUUGGGGAGCUCAUAUUGUAUUAAUUUUAAUUGGGGCCUAGGAGAAUUCACAUUA